GUGGGGAAUAUUGGGCAAUGGGCGCAAGCCUGACCCAGCAACGCCGCGUGAAGGAAGAAGGCUUUCGGGUUGUAAACUUCUUUUAAGGGGGACGAAGAAAGUGACGGUACCCCUUGAAUAAGCCACGGCUAACUACGUGCCAGCAGCCGCGGUAAUACGUAGGUGGCAAGCGUUAUCCGGAUUUAUUGGGUGUAAAGGGCGUGUAGGCGGGAAUGCAAGUCAGAUGUGAAAACUCAGGGCUCAACCCUGAGCCUGCAUUUGAAACUGUAUUUCUUGAGUGCUGGAGAGGCAAUCGGAAUUCCGUGUGUAGCGGUGAAAUGCGUAGAUAUACGGAGGAACACCAGUGGCGAAGGCGGAUUGCUGGACUGUAACUGACGUUGAGGCUCGAAAGCGUGGGGAGCAAACAGGA
rnacentral:rRNA from 1 species